rnacentral:rRNA from 1 species
UCUGGUAGUUAUGGCGAGAAGGUCACACCCGUUCCCAUCCCGAACACGGUAGUUAAGCUUCUCUGCGCCAAUGGUAGUUGGGGGCUUCCCC